rnacentral:rRNA from 1 species
UACGUAGGUGGCAAGCGUUAUCCGGAAUUACUGGGCGUAAAGCGCACGCAGGCGGUCUUUUAAGUUUGACGUGAAAGCUCCCUGCUUAACUGGGAGAGGUCGUUGAAGACUGGAAGACUUGAGGCAAUGAGAGGGGUGUAGAAUUCCCGGUGUAGUGGUGGAAUGCGUAGAUAUCGGGGGGAAUACCAGUGGCGAAAGCGGCACCCUAGCGUUAGCCUGACGCUCAUGUGCGAAAGCGUGGGGAGCGAACGGG